AUUGAACGCUGGCGGCAGGCCUAACACAUGCGAGUCGAGCGGAUGAAGGGAGCUUGCUCCUGGAUUCAGCGGCGGACGGGUGAGUAAUGCCUAGGAAUCUGCCUGGUAGUGGGGGAUAACGUCCGGAAACGGGCGCUAAUACCGCAUACGUCCUGAGGGAGAAAGUGGGGGAUCUUCGGACCUCACGCUAUCAGAUGAGCCUAGGUCGGAUUAGCUAGUUGGUGGGGUAAAGGCCUACCAAGGCGACGAUCUGUCACUGGUCUGAGAGGAUGAUCAGUCACACUGGAACUGAGCGACGGUCCAGACUCCUACGGGAGGCAGCAGUGGGGAAUAUUGGACGAUGGGCGAAAGCAUGAUCCAGCCAUGCCGCGUGUGUGAAGAAGGUCUUCGGAUUGGAAAGCACUUGAAGUUGGGAGGAAGGGCAGUAAGUUAAUAGCUUGCUGUUUUGACGUUACCAACAGAAUAGGCACCGGCUAACUUCGUG
rnacentral:rRNA from 1 species